rnacentral:lncRNA from 1 species
UCCCAAGACCAGGGUGGCCCAGCAGAACAGAACCAACCGGCAGGUUCUUUGUUUCAGGAUAAGCUCUACUGGAGGGGUGUGGAUGAUGAAGCUGAGGGUAGUCCUUGUUCUGCAGGGAGGAAACUGGUUCCCCUCUGUUUUACAGGCUUACUCUGGGGAUUUGGACAGCAGAUUUGGGGGUUGACAGCAGAAUGACACGAUUCUCUUGUUGACCUUUUCCAGGAUGCUUCUUAUUUUAUUGCUGACUUCUGCAGGUCCUUUGUUCUGGGGUGAGUCAUUCUUGCCCUGCCCUCCUGCCUGUCUGCCCUCUCCACCUUCCCAGCCCUGAGCUUGUUCCCACUCAUAGAUUUGGCCAGUUACUGCGGAGGCCCCCCUGCUCCUAUUGAGGAUGGCACCCACAGGAUGGGUGGCACAGCUCUGCUCUCUGCCCUCGUCGGGGAGAUGAGCUUCAGGGUUGCAGAAGUGGGUCAGGACCCAGCUCAGAUGCUGAGGGGCUGAGUGGCUCUGCAGGGAUCCAGUUGUCCUACAUGCACGGGGAGGGUAGAAAAAACCACCUUGGGCUCCUUCUGACUGUCAUAGUCUGAGACCCUCCAACCAGAGGAGCCUGGUGAGCCCCUAACCCUGCUUCCCCAGCCAACAACCUGAUGCUGUCUGAUCUGAGCACCUUGC